GACGAACGCUGGCGGCGUGCUUAACACAUGCAAGUCGAACGGAAAGGCCCUGCUUUUGUGGGGUGCUCGAGUGGCGAACGGGUGAGUAGCACGUGAGUAACCUGCCCUUGACUUUGGGAUAACUUCAGGAAACUGGGGCUAAUACCGGAUAGGAGUUCCUGCUGCAUGGUGGGGGUUGGAAAGUUUCGGCGGUUGGGGAUGGACUCGCGGCUUAUCAGCUUGUUGGUGGGGUAGUGGCUUACCAAGGCUUUGACGGGUAGCCGGCCUGAGAGGGAGACCGGCCACAUUGGGACUGAGAUACGGCCCAGACCCCUACGGGAGGCAGCAGUGGGGAAUAUUGCACAAUGGGCGGAAGCCUGAUGCAGCAACGCCGCGUGCGGGAUGACGGCCUUCGGGUUGUAAACCGCUUUCGCCUGUGACGAAGCGUGAGUGACGGUAAUGGGUAAAGAAGCACCGGCUAACUACGUG
rnacentral:rRNA from 1 species